CCACUGUCUUUAUUUGCACAAAGCAUUGAGUGAUCAUCUAACUAAUCACAUUUUGUUGUAACAAGUUAUGCAAUCUUAAUCUAAUUUAUUUGUUCAGGACUGUGUUGCACAAACUCAGAAAAUUGGUGGAUUUAGUCAUCAUGGAUUAGCACAUUGUGCAAGUAACCAAAGAAACUGCCCAUCUCCCUUACAAAAAGACUUUCUGAGGAAAUAUGCUGGGGUACCAUCAAAAUAAAAAUAAGUAUCUCAUGAUC